UACGGAGGGAGCUAGCGUUAUUCGGAAUUACUGGGCGUAAAGCGCACGUAGGCGGCUUUGUAAGUUAGAGGUGAAAGCCUGGAGCUCAACUCCAGAAUUGCCUUUAAGACUGCAUCGCUUGAAUCCAGGAGAGGUGAGUGGAAUUCCGAGUGUAGAGGUGAAAUUCGUAGAUAUUCGGAAGAACACCAGUGGCGAAGGCGGCUCACUGGACUGGUAUUGACGCUGAGGUGCGAAAGCGUGGGAGCAACAGG
rnacentral:rRNA from 1 species